CAGCCACAGCCCCAGUGCCAGCCAUGGCCUGGUGCUCCACUGCUGCCCUCACAGAGCAGCCCCAGUGCCAGCCAUGGCCUGCAGUUCUGUGAAUUAUUCACCAGAGAGUAUUUCUACCACCCAUCUAGUUGUGUUUAUCCACUAAUCAUGGAAGAAAAAAUUUCCUUCCCACUCAUUGGGCUGAUUCCUGAGGCAGCAGUGCUACUCCGGCACUUGGAUGCAGCUAUUGUGUUAUCCUAUCCUGACUAACAAUAUUCCUGACUAGAAAUAGUGCACCUUGGGCUCCUUCUGAACCCAACCACAUUUCUUGGCUUCUUGGUCCUUGCAAGGGUGUCCCCUAUUCAUCCUUGCAACCACUUAAGCCAUGAGUCAAAAGCAGUAAUUUGGAUUUGCUUCUUUUCUCUCUCCAUUUUAGUUCUGAAGUUAAGAUGGAAGAUGUUUCAUGCUGGCUGUGAUGAACCUGCCUGCUUCAUUUUUCUGGUCUGGAAUUUUAAUUGCUUUCUAAAUUACUGAUGCAGAAAUCCCAGGAAGAAAAAAAAGCCUACCUUCAUUUAAGUACCUGUUGUUCAUGGCUUUGUCUACCAGCCUUUUGAGAUAUGAGAUAUGACUUUGGAUACAGAUAAAAGAAAAAGAUUUAGAAGCCACCAAACAUAGGAAUUUUAAAAAUGUAUCUAUUUCAAAAGAACUGAAAGAAGAAAUAUGCCACUGCAGAGAUUUCAUCAGGGGUUUCCAAGCUUUCCCUCUUUUCAUCUGUGUGCUCCUUUUUCUUCCAAAUCAAAAUCCACUAAAGUUUCAGGCAAUCUUUUAUUCUUCCAGUAGCAAGAGGAAAGAUUUUUUUUUUUUUUGGUGAGGGCAAAACCAAGGAACUGGAAAUAGAAGCCACAGAUUUUAAAUGUAUGUGUUCCCCCUCUUAUGAGUCUGGUGUAUCUAAAGCAGAGACAUUAGUAGUUUUCAGUGUCCUUUGAAGACCAGAGAGCUUUACACCUCUUGUUCAAGUUUCUGACACCUGCCCAUCAAUAAUACUCCCUGGCUAACUCAUGUAAUUUAUAAAAGUACUAAACAGUUGUCCAUCUAUUAAUACAAAUAGAUUUUAACCUUAAAAAACACAACCACAAUGCAACAGUACAAAGCAAUAUACUCUAACAGCAGUAACUCCUAGAGGCCCAGUACACCAGCUUUCAAAAUACCAGAAAUACAGCGAAAUGUCCCUGAAUUGAGGCCAAUUCAGAGUAGCUUUAUUUCUUUCAGUUAAGAUCCUUACUUCUGAUCAGAGAAUGCUUCAAUGAACAAAGCAGGAUAAUAACCCUGGCAAAUUCAUUGCUGUGCAGCUGCCUGCAGAACACACUACAAGCCCUGGAGACACAGCCAGCCCAUACCUGAUUAGCCAUAAAAAAAAAAAAGCCUGCUGAGUCUCCCUCAUAUGCUGAGCACUGUGGAUGAGAACACAGAACAAUGGGAUAUGCAUAUCUACAGAUCUACUUCCUAAACCAAGUGUCUCCUGUACUCACCUCCUUCCCCAUUUUUCAGCCUUUCCCACUCAAGUCUUGGAUUUACAGAUAAAGAAAAGGUUGGAGGUACAAAUGAAAAAGCCAAAGAAAGGGUGGAAAGGCAUGCAGAAGUCAGUAAUGAUGCUGAUGGGAGAAGUCUGACUCCAGUUACUUCCAGUCCUUUCAUCUUUGAACUAGAAUAUACUGAAUUUUAUGCAUGGUAUCUCAGCCAGCCUCAAAAAUCUUCAAGUCCACUUGAAAAAACCUCCUGAAUGCUACUACUAGGCAAACUACUCAGGAGAUUAGCAGAUUCUCAAAAAAAUAUUUGGAAUAUUGAAAUUAAUCUAUAAUAAACAAAAUAUUGCUUGUGUCAACACAAAAUAAGGAAGUUUGACAUUAGCCUCACAGAUAUUAAAAUUGUCAGGAGACAUUCAACUAAUUCAUCAUGGUUCUGCCCUUGGUAUAAAUUCCUGCUGAGCUGCUCAUGAAACUCUACAGUGACCACCAGGGAAACCCAGUGAGGGCUGAUGAAUCCUGCACACAAGCAGAGUCCACCAUCUCUAGCUGGGUGAUCAUACAAUUAUGCAACAAACAAUACUAUUGAUUCUGUAAAUUUGAUUUUGAGAUCUGUUAGGCAGAGUCUUAGGGCCAAAACUGAAUGACAGAACUGGCAAGGAUCUCACACUAGGGUUAUUUACCCAGUUUUCAACUUCAUCCCAAGCCAGUUUCACUGCAAGUGGCAUGAGGCAAAGCCAGGUUUUCCCUCAGCUACCCAGGAAACUCAGCACAGUACCAGAAGAUGCCAACUGACUUCACGCUACUCAGACUUAUCCCCUCCCUUCCACACAUGACUGGAGUUGAUCCAGCCAUGUACCUAAAAGGAAUAAUAUGUUUUCUUAAACCCUUAUGGUACUUGUAUGUGGCAUAUGUUUGUUUUUUCCCCAACACAGCCUUGUGCAGCAAUAUGUUGAUAAGACUUUUUUUUUUUUUGCUUUUUUUUUUUAGCCCCCCAGGAAGUUGUUGUGGUCAUAUGGUAGAGCCAGUGUAAAAUACAGGUCACUUGGGAGACCCCCAUUAUUGCACUGGAGAACAAACAGUUUAACCAAGCUGCAGCUGCUUCAAACUAUUCUGUCAGACUUUUGGCCAAAUCCAUUCUGUCUCCAGCUCCCAAAGUUAGACCAUGUCCUCUUUCCCUGGCUCUCCAAUUCAUGUGUUUUUAUGGUCUUCUUAUUGGCACAGCCUAAGGAACUUGAGUCUAUAACUCUCAGUAAUGCCAGCAACCAGUGUAACUCCAAGAGUUUUCUUGUCCAAGUGAUGAUUAAUCAGAUUUAACAAGACUGACGCAGCACUCUGCUGAACACGACACUUUGAUAAAUGCUGCUCUCACAGCAGCUUACACCAGGGGCAUUCCAAAGCACUCAGACUGAUAGGAAUUCUCCUGAUGAAUUCAAAUAUGCACUGAGUACCAGCAGAGAGCAAACACAAGGUUUUUCAUGACCCAUCUGCAUCAGAAUCUUUCUUUCUGAGGAGGGAUUUCUUUAACUGUGAUUUUCUCAACCCUCAGCUGGGUUGAAGAAGAUGUGAAGAAUGUGGCAUUGGAUUUGUGCUGCUGCUGCCCAGCUCUGCUGGUUGGAUGCAGGGCUAUUCCAGGAGCACAUUCACACAAUGGUGAUGAUAUUUACUCUAUCUCAUUCUUUUCUGCCCUCAGAAAGCAAGCCUGAGUGAGUGGGAGAUGUCAGGACAGUGCACAGAGCAAACUCAGAUAGUAAUGAAGACUGAACUUAGAGAGAAGGGGCUGCUGCUGAGACCCUCAGUGCUGAAGAAAACCCUCAAAAGCUCACUAAUUGAAGCCAAGCAGCAGUGCCACGAAAGGCCACAUCAGCCAGACUUCCUGGCACUUCAAGUGAGCUAAAUACCUGUGACUCCAGAGCAAAGGCACAAUUGCAGACUUGCAAAGAUGAAUUGUUAACAACUUGAAGAGAGUACUGGGAGGGCUACUGAAGAUAAAAAUUAUGCAGACCUGGAACUGUGACACCAGAACAUGACAAUUCCAUCCAGAACCCACAAGCCCUUCA